rnacentral:rRNA from 1 species
GACGUAGGGGGCCAGCGUUGUUCGGAAUUACUGGGUGUAAAGGGUUCGUAGGCGGUGUGGCAAGUCGGGAGUGAAAUCUAUGGGCUUAACUCAUAGACUGCUUCCGAAACUGCUGUGCUCGAGUGUGGGAGAGGCGCGUGGAAUUGCAGGUGUAGCGGUGAAAUGCGUAGAUAUCUGCAGGAACACCCGUGGCGAAAGCGGCGAGCUGGAUCACUACUGACGCUGAGGAACGAAAGCUAGGGGAGCAAACAGG